rnacentral:rRNA from 1 species
CGCGUAGGCGGUCUUUUAAGUCAGAUGUGAAAGCCCGGGGCUUAACCCCGGAAGUGCAUUUGAAACUAAGGGACUUGAGUAUGGGAGAGGAAAGUGGAAUUCCUGGUGUAGAGGUGAAAUUCGUAGAUAUCAGGAGGAACACCGGUGGCGAAGGCGACUUCCUGACCAAUACUGACGCUGAGGCGCGAAGGCGUGGGGAGCAAACA